rnacentral:rRNA from 1 species
ACUCCUACGGGAGGCUGCAGCAAGGAAUUUUCCGCAAUGGGCGCAAGCCUGACGGAGCAACGCCGCGUGCGGGAUGACGCCUUUCGGGGUGUAAACCGCUGUUCGUGGGGACGAAGCACUGACGGUACCCACGGAGGAAGGCCCGGCUAACUACGUGCCAGCAGCCGCGGUAAUACGUAGGGGCCGAGCGUUGUCCGGAGUUACUGGGCGUAAAGCGUGCGCAGGCGGCGUAUCGCGCCCGGCGUGAAAGCCCCCGGCUCAACCGGGGAGGGUCGUCGGGGACGGGUACGCUUGAGGGCAGCAGGGGCUGGUGGAAUUCCCGGUGUAGUGGUGAAAUGCGUAGAGAUCGGGAGGAACACCUGUGGCGAAGGCGGCCAGCUGGGCUGCACCUGACGCUGAGGCACGAAGGCGUGGGGAGCGAACGGGAUUAGAUACCCCGGUAGUCCACGCAGUAAACGAUGCAGACUAGGCGUGGGGGGACUUGACCCCCUCCGUGCCGGAGCUAACGCGGGAAGUCUGCCGCCUGGGGAGUACGGCCGCAAGGCUAAAACUCAAAGGAAUUGACGGGGGCCCGCACAAGCGGCGGAGCGUGUUGUUUA